UAAUUUUGAUUUAUAUGUUUACUCAACUAUCAUUUAAUGUCUAGGGUUGGAGUUGUAACCUGUCAGGCUCCAACUAUGGCCACAACGAAAGUUACUCAUGUAAUGCUAAAUUCCGGCCAACUGAUACCGACAAUAGGCUUCGGUACCGGAGCACUACCUAUGCCACCGCCUGAACAACUAACAUCCAUAUUUAUCGAAGCCAUCGAGGCCGGCUAUCGCCACUUUGACACGGCAGCCUCCUAUGGCACGGAGGAGUGCGUAGGCCGAGCAGUGGCUGCGGCACUGGACCGUGGCCUAAUCAAGAGCCGGAACGAAGUGUUUGUCACUUCUAAAUUGUCAAUAUAUGAUACUCACCAUGAUCUUGUUUUGCCUGCCCUCAAAGAAACGCUCAGGUACUCGUAUUUUCAUUCCUUUUUUCACCAAUGAAUUGAAUCCCAUAAUAAAUAUUAACUUCAGAUAAUAAGAAUCCCUUACAAUAACAGUUAUACAAUAUAGGGUUUGCAAUUACAUUUGAAAGAAUCAGAAAAUUACAGGGAAGAAGUUUGUUACAAUUCAUGCCCCGUGGAGGAACCGGAAGUGGGAUGGACUACAUGGUCCGCGCCUUACUUCCCGAAAACUCCGAUGAGGCAGGAGAAGGGCCGGUCCGUUACCAUCCGCAGAAUUUACGGAUAUGUGGAUCUAUUGCUGCAAUCAAUUCCAAGAAUAAAGGGCGAAUUACCAAAUAGCUUUGAUUCUGAUGCUGUGUAGUUCUUCUGGUAUAAAUUGUUGGGAAAUUAAAAAAAAGAUAUCAUCAAAAUAUGUGGUUAGCCCGGCUUGUAAUCGCAAUUUUAUGUGGAAACCAGAAGGAAUACACAGCAGGGCAGCAGCCUUAUUCCUUAACUAGCUGCAGUAUUUUAUCAUGUAACAAACUGAUAAGGUUGGACUCAAAUUAAAUUUUGUUUCUAAAAAUUUUGUAAACAACUAAUUCUAGAACCAAGAUAACAAAGGGCCAGAACUACGUCUCUUGUAAGCCUAAUAUAGGAUUAUUUAUUUAUUUAUUAUUUAUUUUUUUUAAUGAAGUUUUAAUUGACAUAUGUUGUAGGAAACUGGGGUUAGAAUAUGUGGACCUUUACCUCGUACACUGGCCGAUAAUGAUUAAGAAGAGUGCCAACACCACUUUGACACGGCAGCCUCCUACGACAUAGAGGAGUACGUUUGCCGAGCGGUAGCAAGAGCACUCAACAGUGGGCUCAUCAAGAACGGUGAAAAAGUGUUUGUCACUUGUAAGUUGUUGUGGAAAGAUACGCGAAGAUCUUGUUUUCCCAAAGGCGAAAGCUUGUUUUUCCAGAUGGGCAGUACAAAUAUGCCCUUAAAUCCCUAAAAAAUGUAUCCAAAUCAAAUUAAUCAUCAGGGAUAUCACUGAGGGAGCAAAAGAAUAAUAUCACUCUUGACAUUGUUGGGGACAGUGGCGGAUCCAGCACCUGGCGAGCCCCCGCGGCCGCCCGUGCUGGAUUCGCCGGGAGCUUCAGUGGCUGCCGGGUUGGUGGCAGCCGCGUAGGCGCAGCAGAUGGAGAUUUGCAGAAGAAGCCGAACAGGAGUCUGUGAUGCUGGAGAAGAAGACUUCAAAUUUCCAAAAUUUUUCUAUUCGUUUGGGCUUAUCUGCCAGAGAUUGGGCCAUUUUAAAAAAAAAGUUAGGCCCAAAUUAAUAAGGAUAUUGAAUCCGGCAACAAAGUCCAUGGACCAUGGUAUGAAUUUGAUUUCUCAUUCCCCCAACCCAAAUUUGAUUUCUCAUUUCCUCCAUUUGAAACCGACAGGCGAGUCAGGCGACAGCAAAGUUCAAACAGCAAACCCUGAAAUUUCCAUUUGAAGCAGAGCUGCAGAACAACAGAAUUAGCAGCUGGAGGCAGUGGACGGUUUGGCGGUGUCAUGGUGUGCGAAGUCAGACUCUCAGAAUCAGGGGCGAGGCCACGGCCGCGAGGCGACGAUCUGGUGAGUUGAAAUUUGAAUAACUUGAAGUGUUGAAUGCUUGAAGUCUUGCUUGAGUACUGCAAUUUGCAAACCCUUUGUUGAUUUGUCGAUUUGUGCAAACCCUUUGUUGAUUUGUCGCUUUGCAAUUCAACAAUUCAAAUUGAUUUGUCGAUUUGUGCUUGUGCAACUGCAAUUUGCAAAUCCUUUGUUGUCUAUUGAGUGUGUUGUGAAUGAAAUGAAGUAUGGUUUUACUUUCACCAUUUGGAUUGCUCAACAAGGUGGAUUAUUAAAAAAAAAAAAAAAGUUGGGUGUAAUAGGUGACUCUAGAAUGGUUUAUUUGGAUUUGAGAGUUGGAGAGUGGAUCCCAAAUUAGAAUAGUUUCAUACUCUCUCAACCAGUUUAUUGGUCUUCUUUUGCUUUAAAUAAAUUCCUUUUAUUUGAUAUGAGCCCAAUGGCAAAAUGAUAAAGAUGGAACUUUAUCUUACGCGGCAAGCCAAAAAAGCACAAAACUCGUCUUUUGCUGCAUGUGGUUCUUAAUGUGGUUCUUUCAUUAAUCUUUAAAGUAUUAAUUGCUUUGCUAUGACAAAAGUCAACACACUGUAUAAUCUCUACUCGGUGUGGAGAUUUCUAAGUCCCUACCCUAACGUAUUGUAUAACUCAGGCCAUAAGAUUCCAUAAAUAGGCUAUGGAACAGCGACAAAUCGCAACAACGGACAUCCAUCUUCUUGGAUUCCAUUGAGGUUGGCUGCCACCACUUUGACACGGCAGCCUCCUACGACAUAGAGGAGUACGUUUGCCGAGCGGUAGCAAGAGCACUCAACAGUGGGCUCAUCAAGAACGGUGAAAAAGUGUUUGUCACUUGUAAGUUGUUGUGGAAAGAUACGCGAAGAUCUUGUUUUCCCAAAGGCGAAAGCUUGUUUUUCCAGAUGGGCAGUACAAAUAUGCCCUUAAAUCCCUAAAAAAUGUAUCCAAAUCAAAUUAAUCAUCAGGGAUAUCACUGAGGGAGCAAAAGAAUAAUAUCACUCUUGACAUUGUUGGGGUCUUGGGGAAAUACUUUUCUGAUAUAAUCAACCAUAUGAAAAAGAUAUGUACAGUCAAUAGUUAUCUUCAAUAAAUCCUACACAGAUAUUCAUGCCCAGGCCCUACUAAGGUGACGAAAAGAUUGAAGUCAAAUUCUUACAAAGUUUUCUACACGCAAAUAUCUAAUCACUCAAAGAAAUAUCUUUAGCGUUACAGCAGCUCAAGAUUCAAAUUGUAACUUUGAAUUAAACUUAAAAACAAAAAACAAAAAACAAAAAAUCAAAAGUAUAUAACUGUUCAUCUUCUCUUUCCCACCCCCACUGUUCACCAUCUCCUUGAUACUCGAUCCCAAAUUAAUCCAACGCCACCGUUGCCGUCGCAUCUCGCCGCCUACCGCUUCCACUACAAAACUCAUCUUAUCAUCAAUUUCAUCAUCCCAAAUCACAAACCAUUGUCAAACCAAUCAAGAAACCAUUUCAUUCCCAUCAAGAAUUUCCAAGUCAAUGUAAUCUAUGCUGGCGGAAACACACCUUACAGCCACACCCACCAUGUCAGACCACCACCAGUAGACACGUACACCACAAAUGCUCAAUGUGAUGGUGAUGAUUCAACAAAAUAGGGCCAAAACAUCAAUGUAUUUUCUGGGAUUUUACAUCCAAUGCGUGCGAAUAAGGGCUCUCAUAUCCAAUCCAACUAAUGUUUUUCCCAUUGUUCAAUCCACAAAUUCACCUACGAGAACUCAUAUUCAUACUCAAACGACUGUGGGUACACAAUUAAUUGAUCCAGUUGCUACUUAAUCGCCUCGUAAUUUGAUCCCUGAAGUAGCGAGUUGACUGCUCCGUCAAUUGCAAUUGGCAGCAAAAAUAUUGUUCUCCCAUCCAUUGUGAUUCACCGAUGGUCGAAACGGGCCUUUCCUUACUUGCUUUGUGAGAGCUAAAAUACUACUUGAUAGAUCUCUUUGAUUUGGAAGGGAUGAUGAAUACGGGGUGCGUUAAUUUAAGGUGGGGGUGUGAACAGUACUUUUUAUUUUUUGGGGGUGGGGGUGGACUAACUUUUCUCUUUUUAUUAAUCUAUGUUUUGUUUUGUUUUUAUUUCAAAGUUACCAUUCUACCACCUUAAAAAUUGAUCAAAAUCAAUUUCUUGAGUCAACUAACAAUUAAAUUAACAGAAAUCAUCCAUUUGAACUUCAGGUGCGAGUUUUUCAAAGAUUUGGUACUCACGAUGGCAGAAACUAAAGAUUUGGACAAAGUCUGCUAAUAAACAAAAAGUUUAGUACUCCUGCUGCAAUUUUCCCUUAAUUUUUUUACAAAAGGGAGGCCAAACGGGGGCUAAAAUUUCACGCAAUAUGUAGAAAAUCUCGUUGUAACAUUCUGUCAAUAUAACAAUUUCGAUGAAUUUAGGGUCGUUGAUGAGAUUCAAACAUAAUUUGAAGUUGAAUGGGUAAUCGAGUUUCAUGACUCAAUUGAGACUUGGCCGAAAUUUCGUUGUUCGCAUAAUAAAAUGGACCCAUUAUGUUUCUGACACUAAAAAAGACAACUACUGACCAUAAUGGCCCAAAAGCCCAAAUAUGUUGAUGCCAAAUCCAACCGACACUAACCCUGAAGCUAAUCCACUCCAAUUAUAAUAAUGUUAUACAGACCACUGAAAUUAUAAUUUUGAUUUAUAUGUUGACUCAAUUAUCAUUUAAUGUCUAGGAUUAGAGUUGUAACCAGUCAGCCGCCAACUAUGGCCACAACGAAAGUUACUCGUGUAAUGCUAAAUUCCGGCCAAAUGAUACCGACAAUAGGCUUCGGUACCUCAGCACUACCUUUGCCACCGCCUGAACAACUAACAUCCAUAUUCAUCGAAGCCAUCGAGGCCGGCUACCGCCACUUUGACACGGCAGCAUCCUAUGGCACGGAGGAGU
rnacentral:lncRNA from 1 species